AUACGGAGGAUCCAAGCGUUAUCCGGAAUCAUUGGGUUUAAAGGGUCCGUAGGCGGUCUAAUAAGUCAGUGGUGAAAUCCUUCCGCUUAACGGGAGAACGCCCAUUGAUGCUGUUAGACUUGAAUUAGUAGGAAGUAACUAGAAUAUGUAGUGUAGCGGUGAAAUGCUUAGAGAUUACAUGGAAUACCAAUUGCGAAGGCAGGUUACUACUAAUGGAUUGACGCCGAUGGACGAAAGCGUGGGUAGCGAACAGGAUUAGAUACCCUGGUAGUCCACGCCGUAAACGAUGGAUACUAGCUGUUGGGAGCAAUCUCAGUGGCUAAGCGAAAGUGAUAAGUAUCCCACCUGGGGAGUACGUUCGCAAGAAUGAAACUCAAAUGAAUUGGCGGGG
rnacentral:rRNA from 1 species